UACGUAGGGGGCAAGCGUUGUCCGGAUUUAUUGGGCGUAAAGAGCGUGUAGGCGGCCUGACAGGUCUGCUGUGAAAACUCGAGGCUCAACCUCGAGAUGUCGGCGGAAACCGUCUGGCUAGAGUCCGGAAGAGGAGAGUGGAAUUCCUGGUGUAGCGGUGAAAUGCGCAGAUAUCAGGAAGAACACCUAUGGCGAAGGCAGCUCUCUGGGACGGUACUGACGCUGAUGCGCGAAAGCUAGGGGAGCGAACGGG
rnacentral:rRNA from 1 species